CAUCGGCAACCUGAUUUUUCUCCCUAAAGAAAUGAUGCACGGUUGGUCUUCCCAGCCUUCUUAUUAUUGACCGGCAUUUAUAAAUAAGAGGAUCAUAUAAUGUAUUGCCCUUAGACAACAUGUGAAUUACCUCCAUGGAAUCGAUAUUGACUUUAAUGGGGCUGAGGUUAAGCUGUAAAGCCAGAUUAAGCCCCUCUGUACAGCCAUCUGCUCCAUAUGAUUAUUGGAGGCAUGCAAGAAACUUUGGAGGAAGCCAAUAUAUCAACCCUUUUACAAUAUGUAUUUUCUAAAACAAGUUAUAAUAAAGUAUCUGAUACAUUAUUAUAACUUACUUUAGACUAUAAUAUGUAUCUAAUGCAUUAAUAUAAUUAAUACAAAAGACAUAAAGACACCAUUAAACUUUUCUCAGAUUAAAAAACACCUAAAGUUUGCGCGAGUCCUAUUACCCCACGAAACUAGUUUCAAUCAUAAUAAGUACACCAUUCUGACCUAUUUUCAGAGCAAGUGCAAAGUCACGGAUGAAGAGGCGCGUGAACAAGUUAAAAUUUACCCCCAAACCAAUAUAAAAUUUCCAUGUGACAUUAACAACUUGUCUUCUCCAAGCAACUCAUCUUCUCUAAAUAAUUCAUCUUCUCCAAACAAGAAAAAAAGAAGGAAUUCACAGAAUUCUUGUCCAUUAAUGUAAAUUUUUUUUUGAUGCUUCUCCUUCAUCCAUUCACUUUAAUCAAAACUCCAUUCAUGAAAAAAAAUUUCUUACUCUUCGAUUUCAUAUUUUAUCUUUUAUUAAAUAUCAAACUUAGAUUCUUUUUUAUUUUUCUGAUUUUGUGAUGAUGUUCAUCGGAGAUGAAAUUAAUUGAUCUGAAAAUUUCAGAUUCAGUAUCCACCUCAACUUCAGUACAAUCAAUGCUUGUUGCACUACUAUCAUUGCCUCCAAAGAUGACAUCGGCAGAUCAGAGGAAGAAGGUAAUUAAAACUGAUGUAGAUUCAAAGUGAUACUAUUUUUGAAUUGGCCAUCAACAAUGAUGAAAAAUGAAAAAGAAGAAGCAUAUCCAAGAGAAGUGACCAUCAACAACGACGAUGGAAUAAAGUCUUACCAGUAAAAUUCGACAUGAUUGCCAAAGGAUGUGCAAGCUAUUUAUAAUUUGUCAACCAAUUCUAUUAAAAUUGCAAAUUUCAAUUUAUUUAUCAGGGAAAUUCAAGGAAAAAGUAAAAAAGAGGGGAGAAGAGGAGCUUGAUGGAAAAGAA
rnacentral:lncRNA from 1 species